UACGUAGGGUGCGAGCGUUGUCCGGAAUUAUUGGGCGUAAAGAGCUUGUAGGCGGUUUGUCGCGUCUGCUGUGAAAUCUCAAGGCUCAACCUUGAGCUUGCAGUGGGUACGGGCAGACUAGAGUGUGGUAGGGGAGACUGGAAUUCCUGGUGUAGCGGUGAAAUGACGCAGAGUAUCAGGAGGAACACCCGAUGGCGAAAGGCAGGUCUCUGGGGCCACUACUGACGCUGAGAAAGCGGAAAGCAUGGGGAGCGAACAGG
rnacentral:rRNA from 1 species